rnacentral:rRNA from 1 species
AAUGAACGCUGGCGGCAUGCCUAACACAUGCAAGUCGAACGAGACCUUCGGGUCUUGUGGCGCACGGGUGUGUAACGCGUGGGAACCUGCACUUAGGUUCGGAAUAACUCCCCGAAAGGGGUGCUAAUACCGGAUAAUGUCUUCGGACCAAAGAUUUAUCGAAUUUGGAUGGGCCCGCGUUGGAUUAGCUGGUUGGUAGGGUAAAAGCCUAAUAAGGCGACGAUCCAUAGCUGGUUUGAGAGGAUGAUCAGCCACACUGGGACUAAGACCCGGCCCAGACUCCUACGGGAUGCGGGAAUGGGGGAUAUUGGACAAUGGGCGGAAGGCUGAUCCAGCUAUGCCGCGUGAGUUAUGAAGGCCUUAAAGAAGAAAAGCUCUUUUACCCAGGAUGAUAAUGACGGUACCGGGAGAAUAAGCUCCGGCUAACUCCGUG